CGACCCGUGUGGAGGAUGACGUCGCGUCGUCAUCCGUCCACCCGUUACAGGGUUGCGUCAACGACCACGCGAGAUGCGAGAAAUCACCCAUACCUGCCUCGUACACCUCUUUUCUAACCCUUCUCGGGGUAAUUAGGGUAGAUAAAUGGAAAUUGCCAAACUUAAGUUUCAACGGAUCGACCAGAAGGAAAAAUAACAGACCCGCUAGCGAACGCGUUAAAUCGGUUGUCCGUGAAUCACGUCUGCCUACCAUUCGAGGAGCAUCAAAAUUGGAUCAAGCGUCGAGCAUCCUUGACUGAGGACACUUUCAGCGACCACAUUCAACUUCUUCUCGGACGAGUUGAACCAGACCGGAGCGAAGUCGUGCACGGAACAUGAUUUUUCAGCUGGAUACCGUGUUCCGUGAUACCGAACCAGUCACCACCGGCCGGUAUCUUUUUCGUCCCGAUGAAAACGUCACGCGAAUACGAGGAAGACAAAGAAAGGGUUAAUGCAGAAGAAGAAGAAGAAGAAGAAGAAGAAGGCGAAGAAGAAAAUAAAGUUGAAGAGCGGUUGAUAAAUCGUAGGAGCGCAGCCCGGAGGAGGCGGCGAACCGGUUGCUCGAAGUGACGUGAGUGAACUGAGGCUGCAGGCUGGCAGGUAACGCCAGGUAAACUCCACUCGACCUGCGAUCCAGAGGUAAGAGAAGGAAGGUGGUUGGCUACGCGGAGCCAGCCAGCCGUAGAGACAGUCAGCUCAGUCAGUCGACCUGGGGAGUCAGCCUGCGGCCCCUGCGGCCGCAGGAACCAGCCACAGGUGAGGGAUACCGAGAGGAAAGGGAGGAUUUCGAAGGGAGAACCGAUGCGAUGCGAUGGAAGGAAGAAGUCAGAGGGGAAUGAGAAUGGCGGGAGGGAACGGUGCGGUGCGGUGCGGCUCGGCGCGCUGAUGUGUUGUGUGUGACUCAGCUCGGAACGAGCGAAUAGGCCAACAGCAUAGCAAAAGCUGUGUGAACGAGACACACACACACACACAUACACGCGUACAGUGUGAUCGAAAAAUAAGGGCCCUGUCCGUGUCGAUAGCUUUCCGGUGAAGCGGCGCGGAUGAUGGAAUGGCAUUGGGCGCUGGGUGCUGGGCGCUCGGUGUUUCGGGCACGUGGCACCGGCCCAGUGCCGCACUUUUCGAACCUAGCUGCUCGCGACCGUUCUCUUUUAUUUUCUUACCCUUACCCCCCGGUAUACUCCACGAUUACACAACCACCACGCACGAAGGACUUUAUUUAUCUAUUUAGAUAUUGAAACGAUCGAGUGACUUGUUUUAAUUGCAACAGGAUUUCCCAUGGUAUUAAUAACCGUGAACAAUUUGCGCAGCGCGGAACGCGUAGCUCCUACAAUUGCUUUUCCACGGUUUAUUUAACGACGGUAACUCUACGGGUUUGCGUUCCCAAUAAAAUGUCGAUCGCGUGAUCGAAGUCAGGGCCGUUUACUAGUUCGUGGAACGGUUUUUGCAACACGCCAGCGAUGCUACCAGUCUCUAUCCGUAUCUAACAACGAGACAAACUUUUCGUUGUUAAUAUAGUUUUGCGAUGAAUCGCGAACGACGUAGAAAGACACCCAGUAUAUCAGGGACUAACUAUACCUGAAUGCAGCAGAGCGUGACUUUUCACGUGUAGUCGUGCAGAAGUGGGGGGUAUGAUCGUAACCGGGCCUACAGUAAGACAGACUUUGAUAGAAUUUACACGGUGGCUUGGAAGAGGCAAGAACCUCUGCGAAGCAAAGACCGCGAUGAACACGGAUUACGACAGGCUAAUUCUUCAUUUUUUCCCACCCGAGUCCUCUGUCCACUCGGUUCAUUUAUCAGCUCGCACGCACGUUCCAUCGCUAUAUUCCCUUUCGUACCGCAACCUUAUUAUUCAACGUUAAAAAGGCUCGUCGUUAAAGCGGUCCUUCUUCCAGCCUCUUUCAUUGCUCGAUUCCGCUGGAAUCAAGAGAUUUCCUUUUGCCAAAUUACCACGGUAAUUAUCUCUCUAAUUACUCCGUUCAUCUCUUCCUGAUUCUUAACAAACAAGCAUCGUCGUUUAACGAAACCCGUCCUCCGAUUAAUUCUUGGACGAUCGUCAUCAAAUGCCGUCUGCAACAUCAUCGCGGUAGGUCAAUAACACUUUUGUACAGCUUCAUAGUGGUCGUUGAGAAGGAUCUCGAGGAGUCCCUUCUAAUUAUCCUUCGCGCCUUUUCUUACCCCCAUCGACGCUUCUCCAGGAUCUCUUACGAUUCGUAAUCUUCUUCGCUCGUUUCUUCUUUUCUUAUUUUUUUUCGUUACGGCAUUUCCUCGUUUCACGAAGGUAGACCACCGACCGACGUUCCUUGUUCCUCGGAGGAUUACCAUGAGUAUCGCAGCGCAACUGGUCUAUGCGCAGCGAGAAAUGCAGCUGAUGCGCACCGCUGAAUCUCGCUGAGGUCAGCGACUCGUCGACGGAGUUAGUGGAGCGCUUAGGCUCGCUCCAGGGAUUUUAUGAAUUGGUGCAUGGUGGAACGGGCGAGUCGGUGCGCGGCCAGUCGGCUCGCGGAAGAAAGAGGCAUCGAGGAAGAGGAAUUAAGUACGGACGAUUUUUAUCCAGAUUCAGGAUGGCUAGCGUAGAGUACCUAUGCGAAAAGUAUCGCGUCGAACGCGAAUACGUACGAUAAGAAAUAACUCAGCCGUUUAUUUUUAUUCGCUUCGGCUGGUGAAUUCCGUGUCAUCGUUUUCUACCGUGAUCGGUAGCAGCUCGUACCGUCAUGAUUGUCCUCCGCGGUUCUAUUCUUCCUUCCUCUCCUCGCUUCAUGGUGUUCUGCUCACGAGCCACGGUGUACGCAGGUGCAUUAACCGGACAUUCAGCAGCGUAACGCUGGCCUCAGAGACGAGAAGAUAGGUAGAGAGACCCAAGGGGAACGGAUAGAGGAUGGUAGUGUAGAAGAAAAUAGGAGAGAGAUAAAAGAGGGGUUAAGGGGGGUGCUAGAGCAGAUGGUUGGCAUUCGAAUUCCUUCGUCACCCGUUUCUCUAAACCGCGAGUUAAGCCUAAAGCUGGUCUCGGAUGUUGGGAACGCAGAACGAAUGCAGCUUACUCGCGGAUGGAAUGUCUCUGCUUUCGAGCUGGUUACAUCGAAAAAUACCUGUAAACGCAUUACGCUUCAUCCUGCAGCUGACCGUCGCUUCGUUACUAUCUUUACGAAUUGCUUCUUUGCCUCUCGUUUGUCUCGUUUUACAAACUCGCGCGUAUCAAAUACCCGCAAGUGCAAAUCCUGCGCCGAUUUGGUACCGAUUGUCAAACACUCCCGAUUCCAUCUGAUUUCCCCGAUGGAAAUUCGGAACGACCGAGUCCAGGUAGCACGCUUCGCGAAACCGUGCUCACCUUAACCCGCGACAAAGUUUGGAGCGGCACCAAAAAGUUGGCCCUUGUCUGGCGUCGCGCCAACGGGACGCAAGGAAACGCGAGGAAACGCGUGUCACCGAAGCAGAAGGAAAAGCAGACCAGUACCCGUGCGUUUCACGAACAGGUGCUGUUCGAACGGUUCUUUACCGGUGUUCGCUGAUCGAUCGGACCAUAUGCCCGGGAACCGAACACAGAAAGAGCCAGGCGAGUUGACGUUAUAAAUAAAGUCGGUGGCAAUUCGAGACGCGAUAUU